GCCAAGCGCCGGAGGGGGGAGGGGGAGCUAGCUGGCCGGCCGGCCGACCGAUGACCAUCAAUUGACACGGCAGCGCAAGUGUUUUGAUUUGAAACCGACGCUCGCUCGAAAUUCUUUCAUUCGUUUUGCCCUUUUUCGCGAACUUUUCGGCCAUUUCGACGCCCAGGAGCUUGCGACAAUGGUGCGUGACAAAGAAUCACGUCGUUGUUGCUGCCUUGACGCUGCACCAGAGAAGAAUUUGGACCAGCUAAAUAAGGAACACGAAAGCUGCUUAUUUGUGCACAAAGAAGAAUGCACUGUAUAAAGCGUUGCUGUGUGAUGUCCCUGUGCGAUCGAUUCAUCACUUAAAAUUCAGGCGAUUAUUUUUACUGAAUUUUGAGGUUGUAUAUUUUGCAGAAUUCUUCCUGGUUUUUGUAAUGGCGCAUAGCUUAACAAAAAAUUGAUUUUAUUUUUACUGUGGAAAUGAUUUUUGCUCUUUUCUAGCAACAAAGAAAAUUGAGUUUGGUUGUUAACCUAUGCGCACCAGGACGAAACAAGUUUUUUUCCUGGGUUUUUGCCAGUGGAAUUUUCAUAUUAAAAUAUAAUUUUUGGAAUACUUUGCUAUCAACAUACACAUCAUUUUUGAAAAAAUAAAUAAAAUUUGCACCUAAACUG